UGAGACGUCAUGUAAGAUACAGCAAGAACGACCCCUUAGUGGAUGAGGUUGAAAUCGUAGAGGCGAACCCCGAGUAUGCUCAUGUGAAGCUUCCAGAUGGUAGGGUGACUACGGUUUCAUUAAGACAUCUUGCUCCUAUGGCUAGUGACAACCGUGAAAGUACAGAUGCUGGGGUUCCUGUAUCUCAGUCCGAGGUUCCUGAGGAAUUGUCGGUUGCAAAUGCUCCUCAGGAGAUUGCACGCGGUCUCUCCCAUGUGGAUAUUGCUUCUCAGUAUGACUCUCUUCAGGAAUCCCGUACAGUCCCUCAACAGGUAGCCUCACCUCCUCCACUUCGAAGGUCAGAGAGAGUGAGGCAACCUCCAAAGUACCUUCAGGAUUACUCCAAGUGAACUUAACUGAGAAGGGAAGAAUGUGGUAAAAAUAAACCUGUUUCAUAUUAGUGGUCUAUAGCUUUUGUUUACUUUUGUGGUUCCUUGCUGACGUGUCUCGUAUUACAGCUGUAGACUCGCCAGAUUAUGGUACAAUGCUUGAUUCUUUGUAUAUGUUACUUAUGAUGCCCCUUUGUAUGUUAUAUGCUUUGUGUAUAUUCUUGGUUAAACUGUCUUUCAUAAGGAGUGUGAUUUAUGUACCUUCUUAGUUAACUCAAGUGUUUAUUUAUGUUUAUGUCUGUGUUCAACAAUGUGUUUUUUAUUUGCAGUGUACUACUGUAGUGGAAUUGUUUACUGAAUAAAACCUUGAUUCUGGUUACACCGGGUUUACUUCAGACCGGACAUCCUUCUAGCAAACAGGCAAGCCCACCUGAACUAUGCCCUUCAGCAAGGAGCAUUAACAUCCUCCGAUCAUCUACCAGUGAUCCUGACCCUAGCUACAAAAAGCAUUGUGAUUCCCACUGCUCCAAGAAACUGCCCCACAAAUGCAGACUGGGAAAAAUUUAAAAUCCAACUGGAAAGAGAAGCCCACAGAGUAAAUGAACAGCCAGAAAUAAAGGAUAAAACAUACAUUGAUAACAAGUUGAAGGAUUGGUUCGAUACCAUAGCAAGGGCAGUAAAGGACAAUAUCCCUAUAAGAGGGUUCAUGAUACUGAAAGCUCCAGAGGAAAGCGACCAACUGAAAUUACUGCAGUGGCAUUUUGAAAACUUAGAAAGAGCCUCAAGACUAAACGGAUGGACAAGGGAGACUUUCCAGAGGGCAAAACAACUACAAACCCUAAUAAUUGAAGAAUCCAAAACCCUCCGUGAUCAGCAUUUGGAAAGGAUAGUAAAAUCGGCUAAUGAUCUGUACGGACAGGCAGCAAAAUUCUGGGAAAACAUCAGCCGACUACUGGGGAAAGAAGGUGAUUCGGCCUCAUAUAUAAUUGACAAUAAUAGGAAAAUCUAUAAAGAUAAUGAGAAAGAACUGGUGUUCAGAGAAUACUGGCAGAACACCUUCAGAAUAACUGAGGAAGAAAACAGAAACUUUGACAGAGAACAACAAAGAGAAGUAGAAGAGGCAAUACUCAGGGAAAGAGCGAACAUAACACCUCACCAAAGAGUAGACACCAGUAGGCUGGACCCAGAUAAUCCCAUGCUGAAACCAAUAGAAUUAAAUGAAAUAAGAUCCAUCAUAAGAAGAGGAAAAAAGAGGAAAGCUCCUGGAAAAUCAAAUGUAAAUAAAGAACUAAUGCAAAACCUACCGGAUGCUGUGCUGGAAAUAUUGAAAGAAACAACAAAUGAAACAAUUAGCAUGGGCUACUUCCCAGACAUCUAUAAAGAAGGGCUGAUACGAUUCCUAGGAAAACCAGGGAAGGACCCAAGACGUGGAAAAUUACCGCCCAAUAACCCUGUUGGAACUUCCUGGGAAAAUUGUGGAAACAAUAAGCAAAAACAGGUUAGUAAGAUUCCUAAAUGAAAAUGGGCUGACAAAUAAAAACCAGUAUGGAUUCACCAAAGGUAGAGGGACUCAACUGGCUACUGCAGUAAUGUAUGAAAAUAUAGAAAUUUCACAAGCGGAAGGACAAGGGUGCAAUGUAGUUUCAAGGGACAUAGCAAAAGCUUUUGACAAAGUGUGGCACAAUGGCCUGAAAUAUAAAUUGAUGAUCACUCCCACGCCAAACCUGGACAACAGGAAAGCACAAAUAAAGAUAGGUAGAAUUUCAGGUCCGGCGUUCCCAAUUCUAAGUGGAGUCCCCCAAGGGAGUGUGUUGGCACAAAUACUAUAGAUGUCCCUGCCCCUGAUGUAGGCUGUCACCAGAUUAUAUUUGCGGAUGGCUGCACACAAAUUAUAACGUACCAAAAUAAAAGAAGUAAAAACAUGCUAGCCCUAAAAACAGCAAGGGAAAUAAAUAAGGUCAAUGAAUAUGAGAAGAAAUGGAAAAUAGCCACCAGCCAAGCAAAAUUCCAACUGCUAUCAGUGUCCAUCCAAAAACCAUUAGACAUAAUUGUGGACGGCAGAAGAAUUCCCUUCAAGAACUCCAUCAAGGUCGUAGAAGUUACCUUCACCAGGACAGGACUAAAACACCAUCUGCUGAACUGCAUGAGAAGAGGCAGUCAAACUGCCAAGAAAAUCAGGAGAUUCAGCUCAGUAUCCACUGACACAUACCUCUUGUUGUACAAAGCACUGGUGAGGCCACAGUUGGAGUACCCAUCAGCAAUCCUAGCAGCAACUUGUAAAACAUCAAUGACAAAACUACAAUCCAUCCAAAAUAAAGUCAUCAGAAAAGCUUACAAAGAAUUACCACCAUAUUAUAAUACAAUAAAAGAAUUGCAAGAAAGAUCAACGAUGGAGAGCUUCAACUGCAUGAUUCAUAGGCUAGCCAAUAAGACGUGAGACAGGAUUUCUGAGGUGGACGACAACCUGUUGGAGAGGAUGAGAAUGCCAACUGGGGAAGGAAGAAGGGACCUCAAAACAUCACCAAGAUUAGGCCCUAAGAUGGAAGAAAUUACACCUGAUCCAGUUUGAGUUAUUCCAAGAAGAUUUAUAUCCAGACACUCCUGGAGAUAUACCAGCAUUGAAGGCGGAGGAAUGGUUGGAUGGAGAUUGAAGAGAUCCUAUCUUAAUAUCGCUUAAGAUGGCAUUCAAGCAACGCAGAAGGUUGAACCUCACGGUAACCAAAAAGAAGACCAAUAUUCUUGACAAGAUGCCUCCUACAGGGAAAGUGAAAUCAGAAGAGGAGGGCAAGGCUACUGCAGUAUCUUCAGAGGCAUUAGAGAAAGUCACAGAGUUUGCUAUUUUGUUAUGUUUAUCCCAGAAUUAAUAGUUUGCCUUUGUAUCUGUUUCACAGCAGAAUUGUCUGUAUAUUAAAUUAUUAUAACACGGCACCAUAGGAAUUUGUCAUUUUCAGUGACUCGGGAAGUACAUAGAAGCCCUUCAGAAUUUUUGUCUUAAAAAUCCUUGUGUUUAGUAGUUAAAGUUUUUAUUCCACAAAUUACAUGAAGGGAGUAUUAGAUAUCGAAAUAUGAUCGGUCCUAGCUCUUCCAGGCGGUAAAGGAAAUAUGUGAUUAAGGCAGUCAAAGCUGCUAUUACAAAGAGGAGUUCAAAGAUUUGGCAAAGAUUUGUUAUUAUCUCUUAAACCCAUCUUUAGUAAAUGGCAGGAAUUGUGGAAUAAUGAAUCUGACAAUGGUAAAACAGAUCAAAUCAACUGUUAAAUGUGGAAUUGUGCUGUUGCUCAUUCAAAAAACUAACUCUAUAUAUUGAAGGAAUGUUAUCAUUCCUAAAAAGGACUCCAUAUUGAAGUGAUAUUAUCCUGUCUUUGAAUGGUUAGAAUUCAAAAAUAUCUUCAGUGAUUGUACAACUUCAAGUGAGCAACAUAGUACAUCAGUCAUUGAAAGAAAUCUUUGAAAGAAAUUUUGUGAAAAUCUUUAACAUUUUCACUUAAUUUAAUCGUUAAACUAUCAAGGAGUUGCAAAAUAUAAAAUAAGAUCUUAACUUAUUUCAUCAGGAACAAAUUAUUCUGGCCAGUCCUGUUAGAGUUAAGAAUGUUAAUAAUUCAGUUGCUUGAAAUCUAAACUGAGAAUGAAAUUCCUUGAAUAUGUGUAAGUUCUUCAUUCAUUGAAUUUUUCAGGUUUGCAAAAUUAACGAUGGUCUUCGGAAGAAAAUAGAUUAAUUGCAGUCAGAAGCAAAGAAGUUUAAAGCAGUGUUCCUAAAACAAGAAAACAGAGUCAGGGGCCUAGAGAACAAACUAUCUGAACUUAUUGGAAUGCCUGUGGCUCCACCUCCGACGCAGGCCCCAAGUUCCCACGCAGCAAAUACAGUCAUCAACAAUUGUGAUAUGGCCCCAGAUGAGGUGUAAAUACCAAAGGAGGCCAAACCUGAGCCCCAGUAAGACAAGUUGUUGUUGAUGUCUGUUGUGUUUGCGUACACACACACACAUGCACCGUGUUGCGUCCUGUGCUUCACGUCAAUCGGGGGUACCACAAGAAGAGUCACUGUUGCUGAAGCUGUUUCCAGUAGUCCAUGCAGUUACUCAUUAUCCAGAUCUUUAUGAUGAAUAGUGGACUUGAUUCUUGCAGUGUUCUGUGAAGUGAAGAUUGAUUGUGAUGUUUAUAUAGUCCUUACAAAACCAAUAAGUCAGGAAACUAAUUUGUACUGUAUUUGUAAAUAUUGUCAGGGGCUCCCUUUCAAGAGUCCUUCCAUCGCUCACUAGUGACUACCAGCUGACUCAACCCAGUCAUAGUCGUGUGUAUAGUAAUUAAUGUACAGGCCAGCUACUAGUUGUAAAUGUUUGUUCUUUUACUCUACUGGUGGGAAAACACAAAGUAGAAUGAGGUUUAUGUGCCUUGUCAAGUUCAUCAUUGCUUUUAGGAUGCAUGGGACCUUCCUUACCAUUUACCGUAAUACAUUGAACAGUAGUAACUUAACCCUCUGUAAACAAUUUGUUGCAUCCUUCAUCCCAAACCUUAAUAUACUUUAUUUGGUUGAGACAAAUCAGAUUCGUACUUCAUUCCUUGUUCAAAACUUUAGGAAACCAUUGGUGUUUGGAAAACACUUGUACAAAACAUUGUAUGCCUGUAAUUGGUUAUUUUAAUGAUACAAAGGUUCCUUGAAAAGUAGAUAGAAUAUUUAUAUGCCCAGUUGUUCAGAAUAACAACCUACAAAACUGAGAUGUACAGGCAAGGGUGAAGUCUAUGGCUGCUUUAUUGAUUUUUUUCUUUGGCUCGGUGUAGUUCCUAUGCAGCAGAAUGUCUGCUUGUUAUUAACACCCAUAAGAGGUUGAUUAUAGCUUUAUCCUCACAUAAUUGUUAGGUUGAUGCCUUCAUCAGGUCGUUUCUUAUAGAUUGUAGCUGUAACGUCCUUUUGGCCCACUCAUUGAAUUUUAUAGUGUUGUACAGAAAUGUAGUUGCAAAAAAUUGAAAACCAAAGAGGCCUAGUGGCCAAUUGGGGUUAAGACUUGGAUCUCAUGUAUUCUAACUUCUUAUUCUAAAUUAGGGCCUGAUUUUUUUUACUUUGUAAAUGGGUAUGAUUUGAUGCCUAUGAAUAUUUGGUGAUUUCAUCUUAUUUAUUAAUACUUAUUAUGUUAAACUAAUGUUGCCCUGCAAACUUGGAAAUAUAAGUCAUAGACACAGUGGACUUUGCAACCAAUCCCACAUCGGAGAUAUCUUCUCCGAUGGCUGUGUCAUUACCACUUAUUAAAUAUGGUGCUAUUUAUGAAAAUCUUAUUCUUGAAGAAUUAGAAGUUUGAGAGUUCUUCAGGUUUUAUUCAUGUUGUAAUUUAUAACUAAAUUCCAUGUCUCUGACUGUUGUCUUGUGUAUUAUUAUGUUCCUUCUGAGUUUUCCGUUACAUUGGUCAGGUACCACUUGCAACACCUUCAGGAAGUGGCUUGUAGUACAAGUGGUUAGGGUUAGUGAA